CCAAACCUAUAACCGGUACGGGCCGUGAGAGCGGGAAGCCCGGAGAUGGGCACUUAGACAAGGGCCCAGGUCCUACGGGGCGCAGCAGGUACGAAAACUUGUCAAUGCACGAAAGUGUGAACGGGCUACCCCGAGUGCUGUCCGCUGAGGAUAGCUUUUCUCUGCUGUAAGAAGGCGGAGGAAUAAGGGGAGGGCAAGCCUGGUGUCAGCCGCCGCGGUAAUACCAGCUCCUCGAGUGGUGGGGAUGAUUAUUGGGCCUAAAGCGUUCGUAGCCGGCUCAACAAGUCUUUUGUUAAACCCAACGAUCUAAUCGUUGGUCUGCAGAAGAUACUGUUGGGCUAGGGGGCGGGAGAAGUCGGCGGUACUCUCGAGGUAGGGGUGAAAUCCUAUAAUCCCGGGAGGACCACCAGUGGCGAAGGCGGUCGACUAGAACGCGCCCUGACGGUGAGGGACGAAAAGCUGGGGGAGCGAACCGGAUUAGAUACCCGGGUAGUCCC
rnacentral:rRNA from 1 species